rnacentral:rRNA from 1 species
GAAUUGACGGGGCCCGCACAAGCGGUGAGCAUGUGGUUUAAUUCGAAGCAACGCGAAGAACCUUACCAGGCCUUGACAUGCAGAGAACUUUCCAGAGAUGGAUUGGUGCCUUCGGGAACUCUGACACAGGUGCUGCAUGGCUGUCGUCAGCUCGUGUCGUGAGAUGUUGGGUUAAGUCCCGUAACGAGCGCAACCCUUGCCUUUAGUUGCCAGCAGUUCGGCUGGGCACUCUAAAGGGACUGCCGGUGUUAAACCGGAGGAAGGUGGGGAUGACGUCAAGUCCUCAUGGCCUUUAUGACCAGGGCUACACACGUACUACAAUGGCCGAUACAAAGGGCAGCGACACUGCGAGGUGAAGCCAAUCCCGUAAAAUCGGUCUCAGUCCGGAUUGGAGUCUGCAACUCGACUCCAUGAAGUUGGAAUCGCUAGUAAUCGUGGAUCAGCAUGCCACGGUGAAUACGUUCCCGGGCCUU